GCUUUGAUUGCUUAGUGGAUUAGAGCGAAGGAUUGCGGUUAUGUCUCAAAUAUCCUAAGGUUGGCGCUUCGGUCGCGUCUCAAAGCU